UCUUCCUUCUUCUUCUUCUUCAAAACCGAGCCCCCCACACCGUCGCUUCUUUCACGCCGCCGUUCGAGCUGCCACCGUCGACUCCACCGGACCUUUCUCUUUCCUUUCUUUUCUCUCCCCUUUUUUCUUAUUUUUGAAGCUUUUUUUCUCUUUGAAACUUUUUUUUUGGAGAUUCAUGGGGUGGGGGUCCUUUUUUUUUGG
rnacentral:lncRNA from 1 species